CCUACGAGAGGCUGCAGUGGGUAAUAUUGGGCAAUGGGCGCAAGCCUGACCCAGCAACGCCUCGUGAAGGAAGAAGGCUUUCGGGUUGUAAACUUCUUUUGUCAGGGACGAAGCAAGUGACGGUACCUGACGAAUAAGCCACGGCUAACUACGUGCCAGCAGCCGCGGUAAUACGGAGGUGGCAAGCGUUAUACGGAUUUACUGGGUUUAAAGGGCGUGUAGGCGGGGAAGCAAGUCAGUUGUGAAAACCACGGGCUCAACAUGUUGCCUGCAUUUGAAACUGUUAUUCUUGAGUGCUGGAGAGGCAAUCGGAAUGCCGUGUGUAGCGGUGAAAUGCGUAGAUAUACGGAGGAACACCAGUGGCGAAGGCGGAUUGCUGGACAGUAACUGACGCUGAGGCGCGAAAGCGUGGGGAGCAAACAGGAUUAGAUACCCUUGUAGUC
rnacentral:rRNA from 1 species